rnacentral:rRNA from 1 species
GACGAACGCUGGCGGCGUGCUUAACACAUGCAAGUCGAACGGUAAGGCCCCUUCGGGGGUACACGAGUGGCGAACGGGUGCGUAACACGUGAGCAACCUGCCCUUGACUCUGGAAUAACAGUUGGAAACAGCUGCUAAUACUGGAUAUUCAUCGUCUCCUUCCUGGGGGGUGGUGGAAAGCUCCGGCGGUCAGGGAUGGGCUGGCGGCCUAUCAGCUUGUUGGUGAGGUAAUGGCUCACCAAGGCUUCGACGGGUAGCCGGCCUGAGAGGGCGACCGGCCACACGGGGACUGAGAUACGGCCCAGACUCCUACGGGAGGCAGCAGUGGGGAAUAUUGCACAGUGGGCGCAAGCCUGAUGCAGCAACGCCGCGUGCGGGAUGACGGCCUUCGGGUUGUAAACCGCUUUCAGUAGGGACGAAGGGUGACUGACGGUACCUACAGAAGAAGGACCGGCUAACUACGUG